GUAGGGAAUAUUGGACAAUGGGGGGAACCCUGAUCCAGCCAUGCCGCGUGGAGGAAGACUGCCCUCUGGGUUGUAAACUCCUUUUAUAUGGGAAGAACCGUCCUCAUUAAUGAGUGACCUGACGGUACCAUAGGAAUAAGCACCGGCUAACUCCGUGCCAGCAGCCGCGGUAAUACGGAGGGUGCAAGCGUUAUCCGGAUUCACUGGGUUUCAAGGGUGCGUAGGCGGAUAAAUAAGUCAGUGGUGAAAUCAACGGGCUCAACCUGUGAACUGCGAUUGAUACUGUGUAUCUUGAAUAUGAGAGGGGUAGGCGGAAUGUUGCAUGUAGCGGUGAAAUGCUUAGAUAUGCUACGGAACACCGAUUGCGAAGGCAGCUUACUAUUUCGUAAUUGACGCUGAGGCACGAAAGCGUGGGUAGCGAACAGGAUUAGAAACCCGUGUAGUCC
rnacentral:rRNA from 1 species